rnacentral:lncRNA from 1 species
GGAAAGAAGAGGAGCCUGCACAUCUGGGCCAGACGGGGUCUUGGGGCUCCAUACCACACAGCUGUUCUGCCUGAGAGAGGGACCAGCAGCUGGAGAUGUGCCCAGCCAUUGGUCACAGGGUGGAGCUACGUCCUGAAUUUGUCUCGAGCUGGGAUAAGCGUGUU